rnacentral:lncRNA from 1 species
UUACGGGUAGCCAAAAGAGUCAAAUGCAAGUUCCCUGAGAUAAUAUGCUUAAAAUAUGAUAUUAUAUCAGUAAGUUAUGUUCUAUAUUGCCCGGAAUAAUUUUAAACCCAAUUUAUGCCUUAGAAGGGCAUUUUGGUCAUUUAAAAGAUAAUAAAAGAGUCAAAUUAGAAAUCUGAGUUUCGGGUCUGGUUCAUACAGUAAAUAUACUUAAUAUAAUAUAUUAUAUCAGUAGGGUAUGACCCAUAUAUCAAAUUUAUCAUUUAAAAUCAAACUAUGCACCGUAGGGGUAUUUUAGUAAUUUCACAAGGGCUAAAACUGCCAAAACUGGAAACCUGAGUUCAAAAUAUUAUACUUACUGUUAUUAUAUGAAAAUAUGUAAUUUACAUCAGUAGGUAUAAGUCUUAUAGGUUUAAAACAAGUAUAACGCUUACUAUGCGCUUAAAACGCUAAAUAUGCGAUUUAGAGCCGUUUCCGGGUUUAUAUAUGAAAGCUGAGAUUUUUAUAUUUCCAGAAGGCUCAAAAUAAUUUAUUUAACAUAUAAAAUCAGUAGGAAAAUGUUUCGGGUUUCGGGUCAAAAGGAUGUGUAAAACUCAUUUUAUGGCUUAAACGGUCAAAACCGACAUAACCCGAAAUAACUAGGCGAUCUAGGAUCCGUUCAGCCAAAAAUUAAUUAAAAAUCAUCAAAAUUC